CCUACGGGUGGCAGCAGUGAGGAAUAUUGGUCAAUGGACGCAAGUCUGAACCAGCCAUGCCGCGUGCAGGAAGACGGCUCUAUGAGUUGUAAACUGCUUUUGUACGAGGGUAAACGCAGAUACGCGUAUCUGUCUGAAAGUAUCGUACGAAUAAGGAUCGGUUAACUCCGUGCCAGCAGCCGCGGUAAUACGGAGGAUUCAAGCGUUAUCCGGAGUUAUUGGGGUGACCGGGUGCGUAGGCGGUCGGAUAAGUUAGAGGUGAAAUCCCGAGGCUCAACGUCGGAAUUGCCUCUGAUACGGUUCGGCUUGAGUGUAGUUGCGGUAGGCGGAAUGUCUUGUGUAGCGG
rnacentral:rRNA from 1 species